CAAAGGCAGUCUGCAUGCAUAGUUCAAAACAGUGAUAACAUAUCAAUAAGGACAGUGGGGUCAGGGCCGGAUUAAGAGCACAGUGGGCCUGGUGCUGACAAUUAUGAUGGGCCUAAUUACAGAAUCUUAUCGACUAAAAACUCUAAAACAGUCAUACCUCCCAAGCGUCAUCUGAUGGAGAUGGUGCUGGAGGGAAACUCAUAGAAUGCAGCUAUAAGUAAACACAUACUCUAUACUGAUUUCUCUAUAAUUUAUGCUUUCAUCUUUCAAGUAAAUCCAUAACCCCUAACAGCAGUGUCCAGUG